AGUCUGGGUAAAUUGGGGCAAAACCUAGUUAAUUGAAGCCACAUAGACUUUGUUUGUCCUCAAAAGAGUGAAUUACUACUCCUGAGGGUUAUGAUAAAGAAAGCCCAGGCCUCUCCUUUCAUUGUGGAUGCAUUAAAAUCUGAUUUUACUCACCAGAUGAAAUUCUUACUGCGCCAUCAGUCUGAGCAGCUGAAAGUGAAAGAACAAAAGAUUCAACUCACACGAGGUGAAAAAAAAGAGGAAGCUG